rnacentral:rRNA from 1 species
UACGUAGGUGGCAAGCGUUGUUCGGAAUUAUUGGGGCGUAAAGAGCGUGUAGGCGGCUCAGUAAGUCCGCUGUGAAAGUCCAGGGCUCAACCCUGGAAUGCCAGUGGAAACUGUUGAGCUAGAGUCCGGAAGAGGCGAGUGGAAUUCCUGGUGUAGCGGUGAAAUGCGCAGAUAUCAGGAGGAACACCAAUAGCGAAGGCAGCUCGCUGGGACGGUACUGACGCUGAGGCGCGAAAGCGUGGGGAGCGAACAGG